AGUGAGCUAUUAUACUUACUCAGUGCUUCUACACUCUCAGCAUUUGCCACAACAUGUGUUGAUUUUGUGUUGCUAUUGUUUUUACACUGAAAUGAGUGUGAAGUACCUAGUCCUAGUCUAACAUAGCUUCUGAAACUGUUCACAGCAAUUCAGUAAUGGUGGGACAUAUCUAGAGCUGACUGUAGUAUUUUUAGCCUGCUACACAUUGUUAAAGAAUAAAUAGAUGCUGUUUUUUUUUUCUUGACUUGACUGGCAAUGCUGCUCAGUUAAAUUAAAUUUAAAUAGAUUUAAGCCCAAUGUUAUGGUCUAGAUCUACUAUUUUUAUAGUGCAAUUCAAUCUAUAGAUGCUACAUGUAUAUAUACAUUGAAAAUACCCCUAGAUUAGAUCAUUGAUUAGCCCUUAGUAUUCUUGAAACCGCAAUUGAAGCGCGGCACGGUCAGUGGGCACAACAUAAAAUAAAACGAGAAACCUCAUAGAAAAGGCCGUUGUUGUUGUUCUGAGGCUCUAGCCUCGGGACAGGAUCUGUUUAUUGGAACAUGGCCACUAGUCAAGGUGUUGAUGUAUUGAAGAGAUGUGGCUUUCCAGAAACAAAAUGGCAUGGGCUUGGACUCAGACUAGGACUAAAGAAGAGUACACUGGACGUCAUAGAAAAGAAUCAUCCUUAUGAUGUAUCUCGCUGUAUGACAGAGUGUCUCUCCCAAUGGCUAGGUAGAGUUUAUAAUGUUGACAGUAGAGGAGGAGCCAACUUGGACUCACUGUUAGAUGCUCUACGAUCUAUGAAUGAAACUGCUGUAGCUGAAGAGUUAAAACAUCAUGUUCUGAAAGAAAUUUUUAAUAGUUUUUAUGCUGUCCUGUCUCAGACUCUUUGUGAUCCUUUUCCUAUUGCCCAGUCACUUUCUGCUGAACAUAUGUUAACACAAGAAGCAUUUGAUAGAGUGUCGUCAGCUAAUUCCUUUAUUCUUAAUCAACGUGAGACUCUAUUAACUGCAGUCAGAGAAGCUAUUCAAACUGAUCCCAACAGUUUAUGUACAUUUGCUAAUGUAUUAUGUGAAAUAAGCAGUAAUAAACAACUAGGACAAGCUAUACUGGAUGAUAUUAGUAAGUAUCAUUAAUAAUCCUUACAAUUAUGCAUUGAAUAUGACCUACAUUUUUUAUAUGUGUAAUUAAAACUGUUUUAUUUCCCUAAUAUUAAAGUCAAGUUUGUUCCGGAGGCAAUUGAUUUACCACAAGUAGAUGCUUUAAAUAAGUGGUUAAAGGAAGGUAGUGUUGAUCUAACUGUUACUCGUGUUAACAUGCUUGGUACUCCUGGAUCUGGUAAAACCUCUGCCCAGCUCCUACUAUUAGAUGAAGACCCUCCAACUGAAGAAGUUACUGACAGCACACCAAUUGCUUGUCCUACUGUCAGAGCAAUAAGAGUAGCUGUAAAUGAUGAGAACAAAAAA
rnacentral:misc_RNA from 1 species